rnacentral:rRNA from 1 species
UACGGAGGAUCCGAGCGUUAUCCGGAUUUAUUGGGUUUAAAGGGUGCGUAGGCGGCCUAUUAAGUCAGGGGUGAAAGACGGUAGCUUAACUAUCGCAGUGCCUUUGAUACUGAUGGGCUUGAAUGUAGUUGGAGGUAGGCGGAAUGUGACAAGUAGCGGUGAAAUGCAUAGAUAUGUCACAGAACACCAAUUGCGAAGGCAGCUUACUAAAGUAUGAUUGACGCUGAGGCACGAAAGCGUGGGGAUCAAACAGG